rnacentral:misc_RNA from 1 species
AAGUCGUAACAAGGUUUCCGUAGGUGAACCUGCGGAAGGAUCAUUAAUCAAAGGAUACCUUCGGGUAUACCCCAUCCGUGUCUACAUACUCUUGUUGCUUUGGCAGGCCGUGGUCUCCCACUGUGGGCUCUGCCUGCAUGUGCCCGCCGGAGGACCAACCAAAACUCUUAUUGUAUACCCCCUCGCGGGUUUUUUUUAUAAUCUGAGCCUUCUCGGCGCCUCUCGUAGGCGUUUCGAAAAUGAAUCAAAACUUUCAACAACGGAUCUCUUGGUUCUG